UGGUUUCUUCUCUUCACUGUGGUUGGACUGUAGGUGAGCCAGUGCUGUGUUUCCUCUGUAGAAGGUCACAGUGAGGCUUUGAACAGGAGCUACGUUCUGUACGCUACACUGCAGGGUGUACUGCUGAUUCUCAAACAUCAUCCCAGUGUGGUUUACAAAGCUGAUGGAGACACUUUCUGGAGGCUCUGAGGAGACAGGGAAAGAAA